rnacentral:rRNA from 1 species
UACACAUGCAAGUCGAACGGAACUUCGGGUUUAGUGGCGGACGGGUGAGUAACGCGUGAGAAUCUGCCUCUAGGUCGGGGACAACAACUGGAAACGGUUGCUAAUACCCGAUGUGCAGCAAUGUGAAAGAUUUAUUGCCUAGAGAUGAGCUCGCGUCUGAUUAGCUAGUAGGUGUGGUAAUGGCGCACCUAGGCGACGAUCAGUAACUGGUCUGAGAGGAUGACCAGUCACACUGGGACUGAGACACGGCCCAGACUCCUACGGGAGGCAGCAGUGGGGAAUUUUCCGCAAUGGGCGAAAGCCUGACGGAGCAAUACCGCGUGAGGGACGAAGGCUUUUGGGUCGUAAACCUCUUUUCCCUGAGAAGAAGAUCUGACGGUAUCAGGCGAAUCAGCAUCGGCUAACUUCGUGCCAGCAGCCGCGGUAAUACGAGGGAUGCAAGCGUUAUCCGGAAUUAUUGGGCGUAAAGCGUCCGCAGGUGGCUCUGUAAGUCUGCCGUUAAAGAAUGGGGCUCAACCCCAUACAGGCGAUGGAAAACUAAAGGCUAGAGU